AAAGAAACCAACCGGGAUUGCCCCAGUAACGGCGAGUGAAGCGGCAAGAGCUCAAAUUUGAAAUCUGGCCCCCCCGGGGUCCGAGUUGUAAUUUGCAGAGGAUGCUUUGGGUGCGGCCCCUGUCUAAGUGCCCUGGAACGGGCCGUCAGAGAGGGUGAGAAUCCCGUCUUGGGCAGGGUGCCCGUGCCCGUGUAAAGCUCCUUCGACGAGUCGAGUUGUUUGGGAAUGCAGCUCUAAAUGGGUGGUAAAUUUCAUCUAAAGCUAAAUACCGGCCGGAGACCGAUAGCGCACAAGUAGAGUGAUCGAAAGAUGAAAAGCACUUUGAAAAGAGAGUUAAAUAGCACGUGAAAUUGUUAAAAGGGAAGCGCUUGCGACCAGACUCGCCCCCGGGGUUCAACCAGCAUUCGUGCUGGUGUACUUCCCCGGGGGCGGGCCAGCGUCGGUUUGGGCGGCCGGUCAAAGGCCCCAGGAAUGUGUCGCCCUCCGGGGCGUCUUAUAGCCUGGGGUGCAAUGCGGCCAGCCCGGACCGAGGAACGCGCUUCGGCACGGACGCUGGCGUAAUGGUCACAAACGAC
rnacentral:rRNA from 1 species